CGGAGGAAAAGAAACUAACAAGGAUUCCCCUAGUAACGGCGAGUGAAGCGGGAAGAGCUCAAAUUUGAAAUCUGGUAGCCUUCGGUUGCCCGAGUUGUAAUCUAGAGAAGUGUUUUCCGUGCCGGCCCAUGUACAAGUCCCUUGGAACAGGGCGUCAUAGAGGGUGAGAAUCCCGUCCUUGACAUGGACCCCCGGUGCUUUGUGAUACACUUUCAACGAGUCGAGUUGUUUGGGAAUGCAGCUCAAAAUGGGUGGUGAAUUCCAUCUAAAGCUAAAUAUUGGCGAGAGACCGAUAGCGAACAAGUACCGUGAGGGAAAGAUGAAAAGCACUUUGGAAAGAGAGUUAAACAGUACGUGAAAUUGUUGAAAGGGAAACGAUUGAAGUCAGUCAUGCUCUUGGGACUUACCUCCCUUGAGUGGGGUCAACAUCAGUUUUGAUCGAUGGAUAAAGGCACGGGGAAGGUAGCACUCUCGGGUGAACUUAUAGCCUCGCGUCAUAUACAUUGAUUGGGACUGAGGAACGCAGCAUGCCUUAUGGCCGGGAUUCGUCCACGUACAUGCUUAGGAUGUUGACAUAAUGGCUUUAAACGACCCGUCAAGACA
rnacentral:rRNA from 1 species